CUAUGCUGAGUUGCAGACUGGUGGGGACGACAGCCAUGACUCUAUCUACCCAGAGAUUGGCCUCCCAAGACACCCUAAGAGCAACGUGGAGAAGAAAAGCUUCCAUUCACAGGGCCCCAAGCCAGCCCUAGAGGUCUAUACCGUUUAUGAGAAGAUCCGGCCACACCUAGAGGAGGACGCCUAGAGCAUGCAGACACUAACUCUGAGGGGGAGCCUUGUUAACUAAUAGUGAUUAUAAAAGAUAUCCUGGGGGCAGAGCCAAGAUGGCGGACUGCAGC